UACGUAGGAUGCAAGCGUUGUUCGGAAUUACUGGGCGUAAAGAGUACGUAGGCGGUUUGAUAAGUCUGAAAUUAAAGACUGAGGCUUAACCUCAGGAAUGUAUCGGAAACUGUCAGACUAGAGUACAAUAGAGGAAGUCGGAAUUCUCAGUGUAGCGGUGAAAUGCGUAGAUAUUGGGAAGAACACCAGUGGCGAAAGCGGACUUCUGGGUUGUUACUGACGCUGAGGUACGAAAGCGUGGGGAGCAAACGGG
rnacentral:rRNA from 1 species